rnacentral:rRNA from 1 species
AGUGAACGCUGGCGGUAGGCCUAACACAUGCAAGUCGAACGGCAGCACAGUAAGAGCUUGCUCUUACGGGUGGUGAGUGGCGGACGGGUGAGGAAUACAUCGGAAUCUACUUUUUCGUGGGGGAUAACGUAGGGAAACUUACGCUAAUACCGCAUACGACCUACGGGUGAAAGCAGGGGAUCUUCGGACCUUGCGCGAUUGAAUGAGCCGAUGUCGGAUUAGCUAGUUGGCGGGGUAAAGGCCCACCAAGGCGACGAUCCGUAGCUGGUCUGAGAGGAUGAUCAGCCACACUGGAACUGAGACACGGUCCAGACUCCUACGGGAGGCAGCAGUGGGGAAUAUUGGACAAUGGGCGCAAGCCUGAUCCAGCCAUACCGCGUGGGUGAAGAAGGCCUUCGGGUUGUAAAGCCCUUUUGUUGGGAAAGAAAAGCAGCAGGUUAAUACCCCGCUGCUCUGACGGUACCCAAAGAAUAAGCACCGGCUAACUUCGUG